rnacentral:lncRNA from 1 species
AACUGUGACAGGGCUCUCCUUGAUACCAAGGAGUGGGCUAAAUAUUGAAAUUAACUUUUCUAUCUUUCUCCUUGGUGACACAUAUGUGGAACUACAAUUUUGAAGGGGGAGAACAGUCUGGGACAAAAGAAUAUCUGCUUCAGCUGAUCUUUUUAUUUGGAGAACGUACUAGGUGUUCAAUUCCACUGAUGAUGGUGUUUUAUGGAAGCUUUGUGAACAGUCCUUGAAGGAAUGAGUAUUGCUUCAGAUGUGAGGAUCACUAUCAGUCCAUAAAAAUGUAUUGGGUAUUAAACAACAACAAAGCUACUACCUAGCCUGAGCUGAGAUGUCUGAAUCUGGGGGCUGCUCCACACUAACUAAGAUAUGCAACUUCAGCCAUGUGAAUAACGUAGCUGAAGUCAAAGUAUCUUAGUUUGAACUACAAGGUACUUACUGUGGGUCCACAUGCAGCAGGCAGGCUCCCGCGUCGACUCCGCGUACUCCUCUCGCGGAGCAGGAGUACCAGUGUCGACGGCGAGCACUUCCGGGAUCGAUUUAUCGCGUCUAGACAAGACGCGAUAAAUCGAUCCCAGAAGAUCGAUUGCUUACCGCUGAACCCGGAGGUAAGCAUAGACAUACCCUAAAUCUGAACGUCCUGAAAAUUGAGAGGUGCUUGGGUCCAAGUCCAUCUCUCACCCAAAAGACCCCUUGUUAAGAAGCAGUAUUACCAUUUCUAUUUCAGCAUCCCUCUUCAAACUGCAGCCACAAGGCCAAGUGAAAGAUUAAGAAAAUAUACUUUAAAAAUAGCCUGUUGUAUUCUCAAGGAAGACCAAGACCAAAUAAUGAUAAUGAGCUACAUACUGUAAUUACUGUGAUUAAUCAAUAUUCUCUAAUAGUUUUGUCUAGAAAAGCUUCUUGCAAGGAAAGGAGGUCCCAGUCACCUUAUGCCAGAUUAUAAAAUGGACAGUUUGUCUGAUACAAGCUGUUCCAUGUCUUUGGUGCUAAAAUAAUAUGUUAACGAGAAAAAAACCAUUAGUAACUAUUACCUUUAAUUAAUAAUCUAUUAAAAUUUUGCAAUUUAUUUAGGGAAUAUUUAUCUGUGAAUCAACAAGCCC